rnacentral:rRNA from 1 species
CAAUAGCGUAUAUUAAAGUUGUUGCAGUUAGAACGCACGUAGUCGGAUUUCGGGGCGGGCCGACCGGUCUGCCGAUGGGUACGCACUGGUCGGCGCGUCCUUCCUUCCGGAGACCGUGCCUACUCUUAACUGAGCGGGCGCGGGAGACGGAACUUUUACUUUGAAAAAAUCAGAGUGUUUCAAGCAGGCAUUGCGCUCUUGCAUGGAUUAGCAUGGGAUAAUGAAAUAGGACUUUGGUGCUAUUUUGUUGGUUUCGAACACCGAAGUAAUGAUUAAUAGGGACAGUCAGGGGCACUCGUAUUCCGCCGAGAGAGGUGAAAUUCUCAGACCAGCGGAAGACGAACCACUGCGAAAGCAUUUGCCAGGGAUGUUUUCACUGA